AAAAACUUAGGAUAAUAAUUAAACCAAGAACCUUCAAAGUUCAAAAUAAGGGUGCAAACCCCCUAGUUUUUG
rnacentral:tRNA from 1 species